rnacentral:lncRNA from 1 species
GUGCGGCAGCCUGCUGUUGUUCGCCUGUGACUUUACAAAGCUGUGCUGUGACACAUCACUCCUCUGAUCAGAGCUCACAGACUUAUCAGCAUAUGUCCCGCCGCGCGCACGUGGCUGCAGGCUUCUAAUGAACUGAGGGAGGCGCUUUUCAUGCCAGAGCAGCUGUGGGCUACAGAUACGCAGAGCGGCCUGAUUGACGCUGCAGCUUCUGUAUGAGUUAGUUGUCCUAGUAGGUUACGUCUUACAUCUGGCUGUCAGCCAUGAUCAUUUACAUCCUCGUGGGACUUUGCAGAAGGCCCAGACUUUGGGAAACGCUGUGCCACCAAGCACGACGGAAGGACGGACGCGUCGCUGGAGAGGUGACGGUGAUGGAGACUCAGAUGCUGCACCUCCAGCGGGUCCUGGCGCUGGAGAAGAUGACGGUGACACAGGUCAACGGCCAGCGGAAGUACGGAGGCCCACCAGAGGGUCUUCCUCGCGGUCCAGCACAGUACGGAGAAGAGGAAACUGUGCUUUGGAGAGCUGCCGGCCUCCACCAGGCAGGAGGACCUGCUGCAGUGCUGCAAGGGCUUGCAGAGGGGGUGAAGCGGUUGUCCCUGAAGCCGGACCUGAAGGGGGUGUCCGCCAUAGUGGCCUUCUCUACCCAUCACACGGCUUCUAUGGCCAAGAAGGGGCUGGUGGAAGCGUUCAAGAGGCAUUUUAAUUUAACUGUCAUGGUCAAGUGGCACACACGAUGAGCCCAAAGGAGCCAUGGGCUCAUCAGAAGCCCUCCCGCUACCUCCCCUACACCGUUGGACGGAACUGUCCAAUAAAUGCAGAACACUUGUUCA